CCGGGCUCUUUCCACUGAGCCACGAUGACCUCCUGCUUUGAGGAGCUUAUAGUCAUGUAAUGUGUUUUUCCAACUCCACAUGUCAUUAUUUUUAGUGCAAACUAGUGUGUUGGGAGACCAGUUCGGGCCUCCCCACGUCCCUUACCCUCUCAGGGACAGUAAGAAUGGAGGGUCACGGGGAAGCGUGAAGUUCAGGCCUUCAAGCACUCGACCCCCAACUCCCAAAUUCUGAGGCUCCUGCCCCGAGCACAGAGCAUGGACCAAGCGAGCUCCUGCCCGAGAAAGGACAUCGCACAUUUCCAGGUUGGAUAAGGAGGUUGAGGCAAGAUCACUCUGGAGAAACUCACUCAGGGCAAGAUUGUAGCAAAGUGAUGAGAGAGUUGUCACAAGAACAAGCUGAAGUUUCUCCUGGACGCCCACCUAGCCGCUUCAGGCCUGGACUCAGAAACACAUUUCAGGAGCCCCUGCAGUCUUUAGCAUUGCAGUUUCCUCAUUGUUUGGAAGCUCAGGAAGAAAGUGCGGUCCUGAUUCUCCAGAGAAAGAAAGUGGAGGAAACUCCAAGGAGUGGCUGAGGUAUGUGUGUAGUGUAGGUGGGGGAACAGCCCUUUAGAGAGUCCAUGCAUCUUGGGUGAGUCAAUGAGAGGAGAGUGUGGUCUUUCUAGGGCUUCAAAUGGCCCUUCUCACACCUCCUCCAUCAGAUGUAGGUGGUGACCCGUUCCCAUGCAGGCCCAGGGGCCACUCGGAGGGUGUAGGUUAUGGGUCUGACUGUCUUUUCAUUAACUGAGUGCGAGACUGCACUCUGGGGAAAUGGAGAGGGUUAAGGAAUGUUGUUUCAGGCCCUUUCGUCAAAAACUGCCGAAUGGAUUGAGUUCAGAUUCCCCCCUCGCCCCGCCGCCCCCACAAAAUGACUCUGGGUUGAGACCAUGUGGGUAAAAUUUAUGUCCCGAAUGAGAGUUAUUCAUGAAGCUAUGGGUGAAUGAAAACAGUGGACACGAUGAAAAUUAAUCUGUGACCUUUGUACAGGAUUUACAACUUCAAGGGCAGUAGAACCAUGAAGUCCCUGGGUUCUGGGGCCUCCCCUCAGGACCUAGUGACCCGGGGAGCUCCCCAAGGACAGGAUCGUGAAUUCCCCAGACUCUGGGGCCUCCCUUCAGGACCUAGUGACCCAGAGAGCUCCCCAAUGGCAGGACCUUGAUUUCUCCAGGCUCUGGGGCCUCCCCACAGAGCUGAGAGGAAAAUCAGGCAUGGUCGCUUCCACUACACGUGGAGUUGAUUGUUGAAGAACCACUGGUUAAAGAAAUUUCUUGCUGGAAUAUUGACAUUUUAACCUACUCCCCGAAUAUGCACAUUAAGGAUUUUUUUCUCCCUGACAUUGCGUUCUACUUAUACUGUUGUAAAUUGUGGGAAGAGCAUUUCCUUCUUCCUGUACUAGUGUUCUAGACAGAGCACAUAAUGAAAACAUACGUUCUACAAGGACUGACUGUGCAGUCGGCAAUCAGUAAAUGUUAGCUGAUGAGAUGUGAUAACAGUGAUGAUGAUGAUGAUGAUGAUCUGGAGGAAAGCCCCAAAGAGGAGGCAGACCUUGGAUUAUCAUCCUGAACAGUAUGGAUCACGUACUGUGUGUAGCUCACUGUACUGAGAGCCUACCGUCUGCACUGGGACUUACUGGUUACAGAGCUUUUGUUGGCAUUCUGAUUCAGCAGCAUGGUAUAGUGGAUAGAGCACGGGCCUGGGAGUCAGAA